CCUACGGGGGGCAGCAGUCGAGAAUCAUUCACAAUGGGGGAAACCCUGAUGGUGCGACGCCGCGUGGGGGAAUGAAGGUCUUCGGAUUGUAAACCCCUGUCAUGUGGGAGCAAAUUAAAAAGAUAGUACCACAAGAGGAAGAGACGGCUAACUCUGUGCCAGCAGCCGCGGUAAUACAGAGGUCUCAAGCGUUGUUCGGAAUCACUGGGCGUAAAGCGUGCGGAGGCUGUUUCGUAAGUCGGGUGUGAAAGGCGGGGGCUCAACCCGCGGAUGGCACAUGAUACUGGGAGACUAGAGUAAUGGAGGGGGAGCCGGAAUUCGCGGUGUAGCAGUGAAAUGCGUAGAUAUCGAGAAGAACACUGGUGGCGAAGGCGGGUUCCUGGACAGUAACUGACGCUGAGGCACGAAGGCCAGGGGAGCGAAAGGGAUUAGAUACCCUGGUAGUC
rnacentral:rRNA from 1 species